GUAACAGAACAUGCUUGAUUGUGGGCAGUGAUAGUGCCAUGGGAUGAGAAAAGACUCCUGAAGACAGAGAUAAGCCUUCUGUUUCCAGUGCUCAUGGGCCGGAUGAAGCCAGCCUCAGGAUAAUAAACCAGUCCGCCAGGCUCCUCUGUCCAUGGGAUUCUGCAGGCGAGGAUACUGAAGUGGGUUGCCAUUUCCUCCUCCAGGGGAUCUUGCCAAGCCAGGGAUCGAAC